UACGUAGGGUGCGAGCGUUAAUCGGAAUUACUGGGCGUAAAGCGUGCGUAGGCGGCGCCGCAAGUCAGGCGUGAAAUCCCCGAGCUUAACUUGGGAAUGGCGCUUGAAACUACGGUGCUGGAGUGUGGCAGAGGGAGGUGGAAUUCCACGUGUAGCGGUGAAAUGCGUAGAGAUGUGGAGGAACACCGAUGGCGAAGGCAGCCUCCUGGGCCAACACUGACGCUCAUGCACGAAAGCGUGGGGAGCAAACAGG
rnacentral:rRNA from 1 species